rnacentral:rRNA from 1 species
UGGGGAAUUUUGGACAAUGGGGGAAACCCUGAUCCAGCCAUGCCGCGUGCGGGAAGAAGGCCUUCGGGUUGUAAACCGCUUUUGGCAGGAACGAAACGGCGCGCGCCAAUACCGCGCGCUAAUGACGGUACCUGCAGAAUAAGCACCGGCUAACUACGUGCCAGCAGCCGCGGUAAUACGUAGGGUGCAAGCGUUAAUCGGAAUUACUGGGCGUAAAGCGUACGCAGGCGGCUAUGCAAGACAGGUGUGAAAUCCCCGGGCUCAACCUGGGAACUGCACUUGUGACUGCAUGGCUAGAGUCCGUAAGAGGGGGGUGGAAUUCCCGGUGUAGUGGUGAAAUGCGUAGAUAUCGGGAGGAACACCUGUGGCGAAAGCGGCCCCCUGGUCUGCUCCUGACACUCAGACGCGAAAGCUAGGGGAGUGAACGGGAUUAGAAGCCCCGGUAAUCCUAGCCGUAAACGAUGGAUGCUAGGUGUGGGUGGUAUUGACCCCAUCCGUGCCGAAGCUAACGCGUUAAGCAUCCCGCCUGGGGACUACGACCGCAAGGUUA